CGCACCUUGCGCCCCUUGGUUAUUCCUCGGGGCAUGCCUGUUUGAGUAUCAUGAACACCUCAACUCUCAUGGUCUUCCAUGAUGAGCUUGGACUUUGGGGGUUUGCUGGUCCUGUGGCCGGCUCCUCUCAAAUGAAUCAGCUUGCCAGUGUUUGGUGGCAUCACGGGUGUGAUAAUUAUCUACGCUCGCGGUCGUCUGCCAGGUAACCCUCAGCAAUGAAGGUUCAUUGGGGCUCAUAAACGUCUCUCCUCAGCGAGGACAACUUUUGAACGUUCGAUCUCAAAUCAGGUAGGACUACCCGCUGAACUUAA
rnacentral:rRNA from 1 species